rnacentral:lncRNA from 1 species
GCUGCCAGCCACAGGUCCCCGUGUGGGCAGUAGCUCCCGAAGUGGCCCAGCAAUGAAUAUCACUGACUAAAUGGAUGGAGGAGAAGAAAGAUGAUGACAAAGAACCAGUAAUGCAAAUUCAACUAUCCCUGUGUUAUAGAAGCCAGAAAAACUUAAACUGCCAGAUCUCAAGAAGCUUAGCAAAAAGUCAGAAUUUUUUAUUGUUGGAUUCAGAAAGCAUAACUGCAGAAUAAGAGUGGUGGAAGGAAAGUGUCAUUAUUCACUUCAUAAGGAGAAAACCCUGGUAAGUGACAUAUGUAUUACUUCUUCAAUAUACCAUUCCUUUCAUGGAGUCCUCUGCUAGAUGCUAACACUCACCACAAGGCAAUGAGGCCAUGACAAUCUGUACAAAUGGAGUCAAAUCAGAAACACAGGUGAAGCAGAAAUAUUCCUGUUUGUCCAGUCUCUCAUUAGAGGCAUGAAAAAAAUCAUGUUUUACUAAUGAGGUAAAAGCAUCAAGAUUGAUCAUUUAUUAAUGAUUAACAUGGCAUUCCUGUAUAUACUGAAGGGCAUAGUGUCUUUCUCUGACAGGAAUGUGUAUGGAAGAUGGCAUCUAAAAUAUAAACAAUGACUUCUGCUUUACAAAUUUAUUCAGAAUCUUUCACAGAGGAGGCAUAAUGAGGUCAGAGAUUAAUAGCAUUAUUGUUUUAAAAUGAUACUUGUAAUAUUGGGAGGAAGUUCAAACUGAAAAGAAAAAAAAUAUUAAAAAGAAC